rnacentral:rRNA from 1 species
AGGGGGUUUUGAUCAUGGCUCAGAAUCAACGCUGGCGGCGUGCCUAACACAUGCAAGUCGAGCGCGAAAGCGGACUUCGGUCCGCGAGUAGAGCGGCNAACGGGUGAGUAACGCGUGGGUGAUCUGCCUUCGAGUGGGNANUACCCGGGNNAAAACUGGGCUAUAAUACCGCAUGACAUCCUCGGUUCGUUCCGGGGAUCAAAGCUGGGGACCGUAAGGCCUGGCGCUUGAAGAGGAGCCCGCGUCCGAUUAGCUUGUUGGCGGGGUAAUGGCCCACCAAGGCUUCUAUCGGUAGCCGGCCUGAGAGGGCGGACGGCCACACUGGGACUGAGACACGGCCCAGACUCCUACGGGAGGCAGCAGUGGGGAAUUUUCCGCAAUGGGGAAACCCUGACGGAGCAACGCCGCGUGGAGGAUGAAGGCCCUCGGGUC